rnacentral:rRNA from 1 species
AUUGAACGCUGGCGGCAUGCCUUACACAUGCAAGUCGAACGGCAGCAUGAUCUAGCUUGCUAGAUUGAUGGCGAGUGGCGCACGGGUGAGUAAUACAUCGGAACGUGCCCUGUAGUGGGGGAUAACUAGUCGAAAGAUUAGCUAAUACCGCAUACGACCUGAGGGUGAAAGUGGGGGACCGCAAGGCCUCAUGCUAUAGGAGCGGCCGAUGUCUGAUUAGCUAGUUGGUGAGGUAAAGGCUCACCAAGGCGACGAUCAGUAGCUGGUCUGAGAGGACGAUCAGCCACACUGGGACUGAAACACGGCCCAGACUCCUACGGGAGGCAGCAGUGGGGAAUUUUGGACAAUGGGCGAAAGCCUGAUCCAGCAAUGCCGCGUGUGUGAAGAAGGCCUUCGGGUUGUAAAGCACUUUUGUCCGGAAAGAAAUGGCUCUGGUUAAUACCUGGGGUCGAUGACGGUACCGGAAGAAUAAGGACCGGCUAACUACGUG